UACGUAGGGGUCUAGCGUUGUCCGGAAUCAUUGGGCGGAAAGAGCUCGUAGGCGGUUCGGCAAGUCGGAUGUGGAAUCUCCACGCUCAACGUGGAGGGGCCAUUCGAAACUGCCGUGACUCGAGUCCGGUAGGGGAGUGCGGAAUUCCCGGUGUAGCGGUGAAAUGCGCAGAUAUCGGGAGGAACACCAGUGGCGAAGGCGACUACCUGGCCUGUUCUUGACGCUGAGGCGCGAAAGCUAGGGGAGCAAACGGG
rnacentral:rRNA from 1 species